UACGGAGGGUGCAAGCGUUAAUCGGAAUUACUGGGCGUAAAGCGCGCGUAGGCGGCUGGGUAAGUCGAUUGUGAAAUCCCCGGGCUCAACCUGGGAAUUGCAUUCGAUACUGGAUAGCUAGAGUUCGGCAGAGGGAAGUGGAAUUCAGGUGUAGCGGUGAAAUGCGUAGAUAUCUGAAGGAACAUCAGUGGCGAAAGCGACUUCCUGGACCAGAACUGACGAUCAGGCACGAAAGCGUGGGGAGCAAACAGGG
rnacentral:rRNA from 1 species